rnacentral:rRNA from 1 species
UACAGAGGGUGCAAGCGUUGUUCGGAAUUAUUGGGCGUAAAGGGCGCGUAGGCGGUGCGGUAAGUCUGUAGUGAAAUCUCUGGGCUCAACUCAGAGUCUGCUGCAGAAACUGCCGUGCUUGAGUGUGGGAGAGGUGAGUGGAAUUCCCGGUGUAGCGGUGAAAUGCGUAGAUGUCGGGAGGAACACCUGUGGCGAAAGCGGCUCACUGGACCACAACUGACGCUGAGGCGCGAAAGCUAGGGGAGCAAACAGG